GAGCCCGUGGCUCAAUAGUUAGAGCGUUGGACUUCUAAUCAACAGGUCGCGGGCUCA
rnacentral:tRNA from 1 species